rnacentral:rRNA from 1 species
GAUUGAACGCUGGCGGCAUGCCUUACACAUGCAAGUCGAACGGCAGCACGGAGCUUGCUCUGGUGGCGAGUGGCGAACGGGUGAGUAGUAUAUCGGAACGUACCCUGGAGUGGGGGAUAACGUAGCGAAAGUUACGCUAAUACCGCAUACGAUCUAAGGAUGAAAGUGGGGGAUCGCAAGACCUCAUGCUCGUGGAGCGGCCGAUAUCUGAUUAGCUAGUUGGUAGGGUAAAAGCCUACCAAGGCAUCGAUCAGUAGCUGGUCUGAGAGGACGACCAGCCACACUGGAACUGAGACACGGUCCAGACUCCUACGGGAGGCAGCAGUGGGGAAUUUUGGACAAUGGGCGAAAGCCUGAUCCAGCAAUGCCGCGUGAGUGAAGAAGGCCUUCGGGUUGUAAAGCUCUUUUGUCAGGGAAGAAACGGUGAGAGCUAAUAUCUCUUGCUAAUGACGGUACCUGAAGAAUAAGCACCGGCUAACUACGUGCCAGCAGCCGCGGUAAUACGUAGGGUGCAAGCGUUAAUCGGAAUUACUGGCGUAAAGCGUGCGCAGGCGGUUUUGUAAGUCUGAUGUGAAAUCCCCGGGCUCAACCUGGGAAUUGCAUUGGAGACUGCAAGGCUAGAAUCUGGCAGAGGGGGGUAGAAUUCCACGUGUAGCAGUGAAAUGCGUAGAUAUGUGGAGGAACACCGAUGGCGAAGGCAGCCCCCUGGGUCAAGAUUGACGCUCAUGCACGAAAGCGUGGGGAGCAAACAGGAUUAGAUACCCUGGUAGUCCACGCCCUAAACGAUGUCUACUAGUUGUCGGGUCUUAAUUGACUUGGUAACGCAGCUAACGCGUGAAGUAGACCGCCUGGGGAGUACGGUCGCAAGAUUAAAACUCAAAGGAAUUGACGGGGACCCGCACAAGCGGUGGAUGAUGUGGAUUAAUUCGAUGCAACGCGAAAAACCUUACCUACCCUUGACAUGGCUGGAAUCCCCGAGAGAUUGGGGAGUGCUCGAAAGAGAACCAGUACGCAGGUGCUGCAUGGCUGUCGUCAGCUCGUGUCGUGAGAUGUUGGGUUAAGUCCCGCAACGAGCGCAACCCUUGUCAUUAGUUGCUACGAAAGGGCACUCUAAUGAGACUGCCGGUGACAAACCGGAGGAAGGUGGGGAUGACGUCAAGUCCUCAUGGCCCUUAUGGGUAGGGCUUCACACGUCAUACAAUGGUACAUACAGAGCGCCGCCAACCCGCGAGGGGGAGCUAAUCGCAGAAAGUGUAUCGUAGUCCGGAUUGUAGUCUGCAACUCGACUGCAUGAAGUUGGAAUCGCUAGUAAUCGCGGAUCAGCAUGUCGCGGUGAAUACGUUCCCGGGUCUUG